GCAGAGCGCUCGCUCCCUCCCUGGACGCCGGGGUGGCCACAGGAGCCAGGGAAGCAGCCCUGCCCGAGGCCGCACCCUGGGCGCACGGUGCCGCAGGGAUCCAGCCAUCCACCAGGAGCAGUCUGCUGGGUGCCCAGCACUCGCUCUCAUUAGCAAGCCUUGCUUGAAAGGCACGAUGCCCCUAGGUUCAUCCGUGUUACAGCAUGUGUCAGGCUCUCUUCAAUAUUUCAUCCUUUAUCCGCUCAUUUGUCAGUGGAUCCUUGGGUUGCAGCCACCCCUUGGCUAUUGUGAAUAAUGCCGCUUUGAACCCAGAUGAGGAAACCAAGGCACAGACAGGUCCAGUCACGUGCCAGUCCGCAGUGGAGCUCAGGGCACCAGCAGCAAGCAUUGCGCGGUAUCGCUUCUCCCCCAGGGUUGAUCAGUGUGUGAGAUGCAGCUUGAUGUGUUUAAGUCAGACACGGGUGAAGACCGCCAGCCAGCCAGCACAGAUGCAAAAAUGGAAGCCUCUGAGCUGCCUGAGAGCCUUGCUGGAAAAAAGGUCCCCGAAAGAAGCAGGACACUGCAGGCAGGAGGAAGAUGCCGUUUGGUGCAGGGGUCAGCAGGCUGUCACCUGACCUGGGAUCCCUCCUAGGGCCUCUUUAUUUCCUGGGGAUGCCCCACUCACCAACAACACUAGGCAGAGCCAUUGUAUCCCCUGUUGACGAUGAGGAAACUGAGUCUCAGAGUGGCUCGGUGCCAGAGACCAGAUGCAACCCCCAAUCCACGAAGGAGCCCCAGCCACAGGCACAGGCCUUCCCAGCUCUGGACCAGCUUCAGUCUCCCCAUUUGUACAAUGGGCAGGAAAGGGCCAUUCACCAAAUGGAGUCACCACAGAACUUUCCAUCCUGACCCCUCUGUAUGUGGGAACCCACGCCUGCUCCCAGCCAACUUGGCCCUGACUCUCUUUAGGGAGGCACUAUUUUAAUUCACCUUUAUUUUAAAAAUAAAUACUCUGUU